CAUUCUUCUUUUCUUUGACAAAAAUUUAUGCCAUAAAAGUGGAAAGUCCAAGUUCCAUUUCUAAAACCUCAAAAACAUCCGUCUCUUAAUCUUCAUUGGAAUUAUAUUUGGAGAAUUUCUCUAUUUUUUAUACAAAACAAUUCAGGAAUUACAUAAAGCAAUUACGAGAGGAAACAAGUGAAAGAUUAUUAAACGUUGCUUAUCGACCUAAUGGAACUCCAAAUAAAUGGUGGCUAGCAUUUGCCAAGAGGUCAUUUCUUAGCUCGCGACCAGUUGUGCAUGCAGAGGAGGAUAUUGAAAUUAACACUUCUAUAGAGGAAUAACCAUGUUUCCAUGAAAGGAUAAUUAUGUACACGUUAGAAACUUUCUUUGGAGCAUUAAUUUGUGUCACUUAAACUACAAGUGUAAAUUUUGACACAGUCAGAUAUUUCACUUACUUGUCGAAUUUCACAUAUGGUUUUCACUUAUUAAUAUGCAAUUUCAUAAUUGUUCUAUAA